GAUGAACGCUGGCGGCGUGCCUAAUACAUGCAAGUCGAGCGAACGGACGAGAAGCUUGCUUCUCUGAUGUUAGCGGCGGACGGGUGAGUAACACGUGGAUAACCUACCUAUAAGACUGGGAUAACUUCGGGAAACCGGAGCUAAUACCGGAUAAUAUUUUGAACCGCAUGGUUCAAAAGUAAAAGACGGUCUUGCUGUCACUUAUAGAUGGAUCCGCGCUGCAUUAGCUAGUUGGUAAGGUAACGGCUUACCAAGGCAACGAUGCAUAGCCGACCUGAGAGGGUGAUCGGCCACACUGGAACUGAGACACGGUCCAGACUCCUACGGGAGGCAGCAGUAGGGAAUCUUCCGCAAUGGGCGAAAGCCUGACGGAGCAACGCCGCGUGAGUGAUGAAGGUCUUCGGAUCGUAAAACUCUGUUAUUAGGGAAGAACAUAUGUGUAAGUAACUGUGCACAUCUUGACGGUACCUAAUCAGAAAGCCACGGCUAACUACGUGCCAGCAGCCGCGGUAAUACGUAGGUGGCAAGCGUUAUCCGGAAUUAUUGGGCGUAAAGCGCGCGUAGGCGGUUUUUUAAGUCUGAUGUGAAAGCCCACGGCUCAACCGUGGAGGGUCAUUGGAAACUGGAAAACUUGAGUGCAGAAGAGGAAAGUGGAAUUCCAUGUGUAGCGGUGAAAUGCGCAGAGAUAUGGAGGAACACCAGUGGCGAAGGCGACUUUCUGGUCUGUAACUGACGCUGAUGUGCGAAAGCGUGGGGAUCAAACAGGAUUAGAUACCCUGGUAGUCCACGCCGUAAACGAUGAGUGCUAAGUGUUAGGGGGUUUCCGCCCCUUAGUGCUGCAGCUAACGCAUUAAGCACUCCGCCUGGGGAGUACGACCGCAAGGUUGAAACUCAAAGGAAUUGACGGGGACCCGCACAAGCGGUGGAGCAUGUGGUUUAAUUCGAAGCAACGCGAAGAACCUUACCAAAUCUUGACAUCCUUUGACAACUCUAGAGAUAGAGCCUUCCCCUUCGGGGGACAAAGUGACAGGUGGUGCAUGGUUGUCGUCAGCUCGUGUCGUGAGAUGUUGGGUUAAGUCCCGCAACGAGCGCAACCCUUAAGCUUAGUUGCCAUCAUUAAGUUGGGCACUCUAAGUUGACUGCCGGUGGCAAACCGGAGGAAGGUGGGGAUGACGUCAAAUCAUCAUGCCCCUUAUGAUUUGGGCUACACACGUGCUACAAUGGACAAUACAAAGGGCAGCGAAACCGCGAGGUCAAGCAAAUCCCAUAAAGUUGUUCUCAGUUCGGAUUGUAGUCUGCAACUCGACUACAUGAAGCUGGAAUCGCUAGUAAUCGUAGAUCAGCAAGCUACGGUGAAUACGUUCCCGGGUCU
rnacentral:rRNA from 1 species